UACGGAGGGGGGCUAGCGUUGUUCGGAAUUACUGGGCGUAAAGCGCACGUAGGCGGAUUGGAAAGUCAGAGGUGAAAUCCCAGGGCUCAACCUUGGAACUGCCUUUGAAACUCCCAGUCUUGAGUUCGAGAGAGGUGAGUGGAAUUCCGAGUGUAGAGGUGAAAUUCGUAGAUAUUCGGAGGAACACCAGUGGCGAAGGCGGCUCACUGGCUCGAUACUGACGCUGAGGUGCGAAAGCGUGGGGAGCAAACAGG
rnacentral:rRNA from 1 species